UACGGAAGGCAGCAGUGGGGAAUAUUGCACAAUGGGCGCAAGCCUGAUGCAGCCAUGCCGCGUGUAUGAAGAAGGCCUUCGGGUUGUAAAGUACUUUCAGUCGUGAGGAAGGUGUUAAGGUUAAUAACCUUAGCAAUUGACGUUAGCGACAGAAGAAGCACCGGCUAACUCCGUGCCAGCAGCCGCGGUAAUACGGAGGGUGCGAGCGUUAAUCGGAAUUACUGGGCGUAAAGGGCACGCAGGCGGUUAAUUAAGUUGGAUGUGAAAUCCCCGGGCUUAACCUGGGAAUGGCAUUCAAGACUGGUUAGCUAGAGUCUUGUAGAGGGGGUAGAAUUCCAUGUGUAGCGGUGAAAUGCGUAGAGAUGUGGAGGAAAUACCGGUGGGCGAAAGGCGGCCCCUGGGACAAAAGACUGACGCUCAUGUGCGAAAAGCGUGGGGAGCAAAACAGGGAUUAGAUACC
rnacentral:rRNA from 1 species